GCCUGGGUGGCUCAGUCGGCUAAGCAUCCGACUUCAGCUCAGGUCACGAUCUUGCAGUUCGUGGGUUCAAGCCCCACGUCAGGCU
rfam:Felis catus isolate Cinnamon breed Abyssinian chromosome D2, whole genome shotgun sequence.